rnacentral:tRNA from 1 species
GCGCCUUUGGUUUAGUGGUAUAAUAGUGGGUUGCCAUCCUGCAGACCCGGGUUCGAUUCCCGGAAGGCGCA